rnacentral:rRNA from 1 species
CCUACGGGUGGCAGCAGUGAGGAAUAUUGGUCAAUGGGCGCGAGCCUGAACCAGCCAAGUCGCGUGAGGGAAGACGGUCCUAUGGAUUGUAAACCUCUUUUGUCGGGGAGCAAAAGACGCCACGCGUGGCGUUCCGAGAGUACCCGAAGAACAAGCAUCGUCUAACUCCGUGCCAGCAGCCGCGGUAAGACGGAGGAUGCGAGCUUUAUCCGGAUUUAUUGGGUUUAAAGGGUGCGCAGGCGGAAGAUCAAGUCAGCGGUAAAAUUGAGAGGCUCAACCUCUUCGAGCCGUUGAAACUGGUUUGCUUGAGUGAGCGAGAGGUAUGCGGAAUGCGUGGUGUAGCGGUGAAAUGCAUAGAUAUCACGCAGAACUCCGAUUGCGAAGGCAGCAUACCGGCGCUCAACUGACGCUCAUGCACGAAAGUGUGGGUAUCGAACAGGAUUAGAUACCCCUGUAGUC